rnacentral:rRNA from 1 species
AUUGAACGCUGGCGGCAUGCUUUACACAUGCAAGUCGGACGAGUGGCGAACGGGUGAGUAACGCAUCGGAACGUACCGAGUGAUUGGGGAUAACUGUCCGAAAGGACAGCUAAUUCCGCCCAUUAUUCCAUCGGCCGAUGUCUGAGUAGCUGGUUGGCGGGGUAAAGGACCACAAGGGCGACGAACAGUAGCGGGUCUGAGAGGAUGAGCAGCCACACUGGGACUGAGACACGGCCCAGACUCCUACGGGAGGAAGGAGGGGGGAAUUUUGGACAAUGGGCGCAAGCAUGAUCCAGCCAUGCCGCGUGUCUGAAGAAGGCCUUCGGGUUGUAAAGGACUUUUGUCAGGGAAGCGGUACCUGAAGAAUAAGCACCGGCUAACUACGUGCCAGCAGCCGCGGUAAUUC